GACGAACGCUGGCGGCGUGCCUAAUACAUGCAAGUAGAACGCACAGUUUAUACCGUAGCUUGCUACACCAUAGACUGUGAGUUGCGAACGGGUGAGUAACGCGUAGGUAACCUGCCUGGUAGCGGGGGAUAACUAUUGGAAACGAUAGCUAAUACCGCAUAAUAUUAAUUAUUGCAUGAUAAUUAAUUGAAAGGUGCAAUUGCACCGCUACCAGAUGGACCUGCGUUGUAUUAGCUAGUAGGUGAGGUAACGGCUCACCUAGGCGACGAUACAUAGCCGACCUGAGAGGGUGAUCGGCCACACUGGGACUGAGACACGGCCCAGACUCCUACGGGAGGCAGCAGUAGGGAAUCUUCGGCAAUGGACGAAAGUCUGACCGAGCAACGCCGCGUGAGUGAAGAAGGUUUUCGGAUCGUAAAGCUCUGUUGUAAGAGAAGAACGGGUGUGAGAGUGGAAAGUUCACACUGUGACGGUAUCUUACCAGAAAGGGACGGCUAACUACGU
rnacentral:rRNA from 1 species